UUCAUCUUUAAUAAACAAAACAAGUGAAGACAAAACGGAGCACAAACAUGGCACAUCUCUCUUUCUUGCUCACCGCAGAAUGUUCAGGACCCCAAAACUUUUUCUAGCUGCCCCACUUACGCCUGAUAGUGCUAUGUGUCUUUCACAAUGCCCUUGAAUCAAAAGAAAUGAAUAGUUGUACAUAAAAUAACAGUAAAUAAAACAAAACCUGACAUGCAUCUCUACUUUUUUUUUAAGGGGGGGUACACAAGUUAUAAUCAUGAUUUCUAUGUUUGCCACAAGAGGAGUCAGUGGAACAUCUAUGUGUUUGUCAAAAGUAUUUUAAUGAAAAACAAACAAUGAAGAAGGAACUUAGAAAGGUGGGAGUGGAAGGAAUAAAGCUUAAAAAAAGUAUAAUCACUUAUGGAUUAGAGAGCUUAUUUCCUUAUCUCAAAAGUACAGAACUGAUAAAGACAAUGAAGGGUUUCUUUUAUGAAAUAAGUAAACUUUGGUCCACACUCCAACACUGAAGGUGGCGAUAAUGCACCUUAACGCUGGUGCCACCCACCAUAAAACAGAAGAAGAAGAAUCAAACAUCACUAUUCAAGAAUCAGCUACGGGAAAUAGGUAUAGUAGAGUUUAAUGUUAAAAAUAUAGUAACAUAUGGAAAUAGUGACCAAGGACGGAGAUAUUUGUUUAAUUUUCUAAGGAGGACUGGAAGGACGAAUUUAAUUAAGAUAUAGUAAGUUAAAGUGAGACAGCAGAUGGCAGUAAUGCAACACUAUGGAUGCCAACUGACGUAAAACUCCAAUGAAGAAGAAGACAAACAUCACUAUUGUGAUGUACAUUUGUGUUAGGGACUGUUGACUGUGGAAUUGUUACACUGGAGAAAUGGAUGUGUCAAGUCUUUCCAAGGGGA